AUUCCUUCCUGAAGAGGGCCGCCGACUAUAGCACAUGUUUGGCGGGUCUAGGAGGAAGCACAGUGAGGGGUUUUCUGCCCUCUGCUUCACCUUUUGACGUCAGAGGCCGAAAUCGCCGCCCCCUGAUGACGCUAGUGCCGCCAUUUUCUGAACGCGGCUGUGUUGACGUAGGAGGAAGCUCGACUGCGCACGCGCGCACAUCUCCCUUUACAAAUAUUCAAGCAUGGCCACUCCGCAGGCUGUGGACCCUUUAUGGGACAUAAAGCUGCUCAUCCUUCAGUUGCCGUGGUUGUAGACCUUCCUGGUUUCCUCACUCAGGAAAGGAAGAGUUUGAACGACACAAGCUCCAAAGGCUGUUCAAGCUUUAAAACAUCUAAAUAUGAAGCACAAGUGAAACUUUUUAUGCUGAGAAUUUCUGACCUGUUAUGUUUUAGAAGACUUAGAGAAAUGGUGUUAAAUCUUCGUAAGAAUCACAGUCCCUAUGAAAUCUAUGUAAUCAAAUUGAGUAAAUGUAUUAAGACCAUUUUAAGAGCACUUCCACUGGAAAGGAAGGAAGGAGAGCCUGGUGGAUGGAGGUUGUUUUACAGACCAACCUAAAAUUUACAGCUGGCCUCAGGUUGCUUUUAUAAUUCACACAAGCUCAAAGUUCUUGGAAUUCAAAUGAGAAGAGACACCCCAGCUAGUCAUCAGGAAGGCAAGAGAACAGAACGCAGAAGAGCGAAUGCCCCAUACUGCUCUUCCCUGUCCACGCCCACUGUCAUCCUCCCAGCUACCGGUGAUCCAAUCCGACAAACCCUGGCCCCUUUGGAACACCAGGCUUUACUUUCUCCAUACUUGCCCAUGAAAACACAUAGAGUAUACAAACAUUCCACUGCCGGAUCUCACAGAAGACCCAUGCCCUAGGCUGGCAGAAGAAAUUAGCUUUAAUUUGGAGAUGGAGCAACUGAAGCACAAUAAUUUUAAAUGAGUAGCUGGCUCAGUGGAAAUUAAACCCAGAGCUUCUGUGUUCUAACUUAGUAUUUAGACUUCUAAAUGACAUAUCUUCUGUUUUCUGUAUUUUGAGAUCUGUUUAUAGGAGCAUUUAAAUGUAGCUUUGAGACAAGAAUAAUGAAUUUAUCAGGCUAUAAACAUUUGGUGCUCAAUAAAUGUUUGUAAAAUGAGUGAAUAAAUGACGUUUUAAGGACAAAAAGAUUGCAUUUAUAUAUUGCAAUUCUAUAUGAAUAAGCCAGCUAACUUGUGAGAUUUGGACUUUUCUUUACCUACAGUUGUUUCUGAAGUCACCUUCUUACUUGGCUAAAACAACUCCAGUUAAAAUAUAUGAUCUGUUACAAGCCAUUGAUUUUAGAAAGAGAAAGUGGUUCAUAUUCAUGUAUUCCAUUGCUAAGUGCAGCUGUAUGUACCGUGCCCUCCCUUUACUAAACUGACAUCCUCACAGGAAAUACUAUUAACAUUCUGACAUUAAAAUGAACUUACCCUCA